GUCUUCGAGUCGUUGAUUUCACACUGCCGAGAAAAGCCUCUAGAUAGAAAAUAGGUGCCCGUACCGCAAACCGACACAGGUAGUCAAGAUGAGAAUUCUAAGGUGAGCGAGCGAACUCUCGUUAAGGAACUCGGCAAAAUGACCCCGUAACUUCGGGAGAAGGGGUGCUCUUUAGGGUUAACGCCCAGAAGAGCCGCAGUGAAUAGGCCCAAGCGACUGUUUAUCAAAAACACAGGUCUCUGCUAAACCGUAAGGUGAUGUAUAGGGGCUGACGCCUGCCCGGUGCUGGAAGGUUAAGAGGAGUGGUUAGCUUCUGCGAAGCUACGAAUCGAAGCCCCAGUAAACGGCGGCCGUAACUAUAACGGUCCUAAGGUAGCGAAAUUCCUUGUCGGGUAAGUUCCGACCCGCACGAAAGGCGUAACGAUUUGGGCACUGUCUCAACGAGAGACUCGGUGAAAUCAUAGUACCUGUGAAGAUGCAGGUUACCCGCGACAGGACGGAAAGACCCCGUGGAGCUUUACUGUAGCCUGAUAUUGAAAUUCGGCACAGCUUGUACAGGAUAGGUAGGAGCCUUUGAAACGUGAGCGCUAGCUUACGUGGAGGCGCUGGUGGGAUACUACCCUAGCUGUGUUGGCUUUCUAACCCGCACCACUUAUCGUGGUGGGAGACAGUGUCAGGCGGGCAGUUUGACUGGGGCGGUCGCCUCCUAAAAGGUAACGGAGGCGCUCAAAGGUUCCCUCAGAAUGGUUGGAAAUCAUUCAUAGAGUGUAAAGGCAUAAGGGAGCUUGACUGCGAGACCUACAAGUCGAGCAGGGUCGAAAGACGGACUUAGUGAUCCGGUGGUUCCGCAUGGAAGGGCCAUCGCUCAACGGAUAAAAGCUACCCCGGGGAUAACAGGCUUAUCUCCCCCAAGAGUUCACAUCGACGGGGAGGUUUGGCACCUCGAUGUCGGCUCAUCGCAUCCUGGGGCUGUAGUCGGUCCCAAGGGUUGGGCUGUUCGCCCAUUAAAGCGGUACGCGAGCUGGGUUCAGAACGUCGUGAGACAGUUCGGUCCCUAUCCGUCGUGGGCGUAGGAAAUUUGAGAGGAGCUGUCCUUAGUACGAGAGGACCGGGAUGGACAUACCUCUGGUGUACCAGUUGUCGUGCCAACGGCAUAGCUGGGUAGCUAUGUGUGGACGGGAUAAGUGCUGAAAGCAUCUAAGCAUGAAGCCCCCCUCAAGAUGAGAUUUCCCAACUUCGGUUAUAAGAUCCCUCAAAGAUGAUGAGGUUAAUAGGUUCGAGGUGGAAGCAUGGUGACAUGUGGAGCUGACGAAUACUAAUCGAUCGAAGA
rnacentral:rRNA from 1 species